rnacentral:rRNA from 1 species
CCUGCCUUUCAGAGGGGAAUAACAUUCUGAAAAGGAUGCUAAUACCGCAUAAUGUCACAGUAUCGCAUGGUACAGUGACCAAAGGAGCAAUCCGCUGAAAGAUGGACUCGCGUCCGAUUAGCUAGUUGGCGGGAUAAAGGCCCACCAAGGCGACGAUCGGUAGCCGGACUGAGAGGUUGAUCGGCCACAUUGGGACUGAGACACGGCCCAGACUCCUACGGGAGGCAGCAGUGGGGGAUAUUGCACAAUGGGGGAAACCCUGAUGCAGCAACGCCGCGUGAAGGAAGAAGGUCUUCGGAUUGUAAACUUCUGUCCUCAGGGAAGAUAAUGACGGUACCUGAGGAGGAAGCUCCGGCUAACUACGUGCCAGCGGCCGCGGUAAUACGUAGGGAGCGAGCGUUGUCCGGAUUUACUGGGUGUAAAGGGUGCGUAGGCGGAUCUGCAAGUCAGUAGUGAAAUCCCAGGGCUUAACCCUGGAACUGCUAUUGAAACUGUGGGUCUUGAGUGAGGUAGAGGCAGGCGGAAUUCCCGGUGUAGCGGUGAAAUGCGUAGAGAUCGGGAGGAACACCAGUGGCGAAGGCGGCCUGCUGGGCCUUAACUGACGCUGAGGCACGAAAGCAUGGGUAGCAAACAGGAUUAGAUACCCUGGUAGUCCAUGCCGUAAACGAUGAUUAAUAGGUGUGGGUGGUCUGACCCCCUCCGUGCCGGAG